rnacentral:lncRNA from 1 species
AUGCAGAGCUUUUUUGCAGAUGCUUCUUGUACUUUGUUCAGGGUCAAGUCCUUUAUUUCUAUUGUAGUUGUUGGCCAUGACGAUGUUCUGGGGUCUCACGAGCAUUCAAGGGAACAAGAUGAACUGAGAGAGAGGUGUGAAGCCCUUGAGCAGGAAAAUCAUGAUACUGAGAAGGAAUUGGAUAAGCUUCGGGAGAAUGCAAAUGAUAAUUUAUUAUGUUGUUAA